rnacentral:rRNA from 1 species
GAUGAACGCUAGCGGCAGGCCUAAUACAUGCAAGUCGAACGAGAAUAAGAGGCUUUCUUCUUAUGAAAGUGGCGCACGGGUGCGUAACGCGUAUGCAACCUACCUUAAUCAGGGGGAUAGCCCGAAGAAAUUCGGAUUAAGACCGCAUAAAAACACAGGAUAGCAUUAUCCAAUGUUCAAAUAUUUAUAGGAUUAAGAUGGGCAUGCGUGUCAUUAGCUAGUUGGCGGGGUAACGGCCCACCAAGGCGACGAAGACUAGGGGAUCUGAGAGGAUGACCCCCCAGACCGGUACCGAGACACAGACCAGAAUGGUACGGGGGGCAGCAGUAACGACUGCUAGUCACGAGAGGUAACUCUGAACACGCCAUGCCGCGUAUAAGAAGCCAGCCAUCUGGGACGUCAGCUACUUUGAUACGGCAAUAAAGCUAUCUACGUGUAGCAAGCUGAAGGUACCGAAGCAAUAAGGCACGGCUAACUACGUG